AGGGUAAACAGUCCCUGGACACUGGACUUCCUCUCCGGAUAAUGCUUGAAACCUGACAAUGAAAGAUGUGAGGAGAAUACUCGAGCCAGAAUGUAUCAGGGCGAGUACAACAGAAGGAAGACUCUCUCUGCUCUCGAGGAGUUGAUAAUCUAACAGGCUGGACAAACACAAAUCAUUGACCAAUAGGAGAAUCAGCGCUAAGAUCCUCUGAGUUCUACAAAACUGACUUCUAAUUCUCAGGCGUGGCUGGGUGACUCUAAACAAACCUGUUCUUGAUGUCUUGACUGGCAAGAAAGGCUAAUAAAAACUUUCACCGAA